GACGCUUUAGUGGUGCUGGUAGGCAGAUUUUGUGACCUUUGUACAGCGCCAGGCUAGCUGUUUCAUCCUGUUUCCAGUCUUUAUGCUAAGCUAAGCUAACCCUCUCAUGGCUGUAGCUUCACAUUAACCAUAUAGACAAUAAAGUGGUAGCCUAUUGGUCUUCUUGUCUAUUCUUGGCAUGAAAGCAGAUCAAGUUUUCAUGCAAAAUUUUGAACUAUUCCUUUUAUCUACCCCAGACCAACAACAAAGAAGUGGUGUUUCCCUUUUAUUGCCAGUUCAGGCUGACGUACAG